CUAAGGCCAGCGAGAGAACUGUUGUUAAGGAACUCGGCAAAAUGACCCCGUAACUUAGGGAUAAGGGGUGCCGCCAUCAGGUGGCCGCAGAGAAUAGGCCCAAGCGACUGUUUACCAAAAACAUAGGCUUCUGCUAAGUCGCAAGACGAUGUAUAGGAGCUGACGCCUGCCCGGUGCUGGAAGGUUAAGGGGAUCUGUUA
rnacentral:rRNA from 1 species